rnacentral:rRNA from 1 species
CAGCCGCCGCGGUAAUACAGAGGGUGCGAGCGUUAAUCGGAUUUACUGGGCGUAAAGCGUGCGUAGGCGGCUUCUUAAGUCGGAUGUGAAAUCCCUGAGCUUAACUUAGGAAUUGCAUUCGAUACUGGGAAGCUAGAGUAUGGGAGAGGAUGGUAGAAUUCCAGGUGUAGCGGUGAAAUGCGUAGAGAUCUGGAGGAAUACCGAUGGCGAAGGCAGCCAUCUGGCCUAAUACUGACGCUGAGGUACGAAAGCAUGGGGAGCAAACAGGAUUAGAUACCCGUGUAGUUCCUGUCUCUUAUAC